GAUCUGAGGCAAUACUGGUCAAAUGCUGUAUGGAAGACUAGUGAUUUUGUUGUUCUGAUUUAUGAAAAAGACAACAAAACACAGCCUACCUUACAGCGUGGACCCUAUUCCAC
rnacentral:miRNA from 1 species